GUCCUAGCAUUACAAGCCAAGCAACCAAUUUAAUAUAAACAAAUACACAAAUAUAUAUAUCAUAGUGCAAAUUGAUUUCUUAACGUGAGUGCUUGGUUAGUUAGCGUCCUUUGGCAUUUCUUUGUUCAGUACAAUCUGCUUUCACUGCAUGUAGAACCUUUUUUUGUUUUUUGUUUUUUUUUUUUUCACUACAACAGAAACUUAAUAUUAAAGCCUCCAGGGCCAGUGGAGUUUAUAUUUGGGUAAAUAAUAGUAAAGGUCCCUGAACUAUACUAUAAGUUUAGUUUUCAUCCCUUAAUUCUUAUAUUAGUUUCUCUCGUCCUCCAACUUAAGUUUGUGUUGAACGAAUCGUCAUUUCCAUCAAGUUUGUUACAUUUUUCGUUAAAUAUGAUCACAUGCCUUGCACGUGACCUUUUUGUGGUGGGCAAAUAUGACAUUUUGCUGGCCCAAAGGAAUCUCACGUGCUAUAGGAUGGAGAACUCAAAAGUUUUGGUGAAGAGUUCAACUGGAGAUUGAGAGCUCAGUACUAGGGUUUGAAGUUCAACUGGAGAUUGAGAGCACAGUUCUAGGGUUUGAGAAAUUUGAAUAGGAAAUUCACUGUUAUUGUCUGGGAAUGCACUUUUGUGAUUAAUUAUUCACAUGGCGACAAUGUUUCGAUGGUCUGGAGAGCAUCCACAAUACAGUGGUAUGGAGCUAUGUACUCUUGAACUUAACCAUUAUGGGUUGGUAGAAAAUGGAGUUUAUAAAGGUGGCAAGGUAUGUUAUGUAGACAAUUGUGUUGAUGACUAUUUGUCAUUGGUGGAUUUACAAAGAUUGGUGUAGAACUUGGCUAUAAAGUUGACAUAACUCAGAAGUUUACAAGUUUAAAAGUGUACUACAAGAAACAUAGUAAGUUUGGUGCAAGUGCAUUGAUAGAGGUGAAAAAUGAUAGUUUUAUUCCGGGGCUAAUUGGUUGCAUUCCUGGUAAUAGAAUUGUUCAACUGUAUUAUCAUGAUCCAACUGAUCUAAACACCAUUGGGAGUCAAGCUUUUGAGGUAUGGGCAAGUUUGGAUUCUGAAAACUAUAAUGGUGGCAUUGAUGAAUUUAAGGGUCACCAGCCUUUUAUUGAUCGCAUAGCCAAUGCCGACAAUUCAGUACAGAAGGUCAACACAUAUGAAGCUACAUUUGUUGGUAUAUAUGGUAAUGUUCAGGAACAUAAUGAAAAUGAAGCAGAAGAGGAUAAUGAAAAAGAAGGUGAAAACGAAGAAUAGGAUGAAGUAUUUGUUGACAAUGAUUAUGGGGUAAGUGACGAUGAAGAGCCAACUAAUGUUGAAGAGGUAAAUGGUGUGGAGGCACCAAAUGAAGUGUUAGAUGUUAAUCAUCCAAAUGAAGUUCUUGAUUUUCAUCCUCCUAAUGAAGCUACAGGGGAGAUUUCAUCUGAUGGUGAAGACAUUGAUAUUCUUGAUUCUGGUAGUGAUGAAGAGGAAGGUGAACAAAACUUUAAUAAAUUAUCCAAGAAGAGGAAAAGGAAAUUAUCGAGUUUUAAACAGUGGAGGAGAGAUAUAGUUUUGAGAAAUCCAGAAUUUCGAUUGGGAAUGCAAUUUGCCAAUAAAGUAGAGGUGAAAGAAACUAUAAAGGAGUGGGCUAUUAUCAAUGGCCGAGAAGUCAAAUUUGUAAAAGAUGAUAAAAUUAGGGUGAGAGCAAAGUGUGUUGGAAAUAAGAAAACGAAGUGCCCGUUCACUAUAUUUGCUUCCAUCAUAGAUUCAGAUGAGCCCACUUUUGCAAUCAAGACUCUCUACUUAGAUCAUCAUUGUGGGAGAGUUGGUAAGCUAAAGUUUGCUAAUUCAAAGUGGCUAGCUGAAAAGUUUGCUGACAAGAUCAAGAAAAAUCCUCAUUGGAAUGUCGGAGCGUUUAAGUCGGAGGUAUUAGAUCAGUAUCGUAUGAAUGUUAGCAGACAUCAAAUAUACAGAGCAAUGAGGUUGUCCAAGGUGAUUAUUGAAGGUAGCUACAAAGAACAAUAUGCCAGGUUAUGGGACUAUCCAGAACAACUAUAGGUGGCUAAUAAAGGAAGCACAGUGGUUAUAAGCAAUAAGAUGGAGGGCAAUCAACCUGUUUUCUGUAAGAUGUACGUGUGCUUAGGAGCUUGUAAGAAAGGUUUUUUGGAGGGUUGUAGACCUGUGAUUGGGGUGGAUGGUUGCCACUGGAAAGGACCAUACGUGGGUCAGAUUUUAACUGCUGUUGGAGUUUAUGGGAAUAAUGGUAUGUUUCCAAUUGCUUAUGCUAUAGUGGAAUUUGAAAAUAAGAGUUCAUGGAUUUGGUUCCUUGAACUUUUGAAAGCUUAUUUAAAUAUUGAGAAUAGGGCAGCUUGGGUGUUUAUAAGUGACAAACAAAAAGGGCUCAUUCCUGCCAUUUAGAGUGUCUUUCCAACAACUUGUUGGAGACACCUAUUUAACAACUUUAAGGCAUCACACCCGGGACUUGCAUCGAAGAAUACAUUGUGGGCCUUAGCAACAUCCAAUACUAUUCCAUGGUUUGAUGUAUAGAUGGAAAAGAUGAAAAAGCUUGGAUUUAGAUUCAGAAAAGGCCUCCACAAAAUUGGAGUAGAGCUUAUUUUGCAUCGCACUUCAAGUGUGAUGUUUUUUUGAACAACCUAUGUGAAUCGUUUAAUUCUCGCAUUAUAGAUGCAAGAGACAAGGCAAUAUUAACAUGCCUUGAGAGAAUUAUGGUAUAUAUCAUGUUAAGGAUGGCUAAUAGAAGAAUUGCAGCCAGGCAUUGGAAACAUCCGGUUGGACCCAGGAUCUUCAAAAUCAUUGAGAACAAGUUAGGAGCUAGUCAGUGCAUUCCUAUGAUGGCUGGGGACAAGAAGUUCUUAGUACAACAUAUGUAUGGGGCUGAGUUUGUUGUGGAUCUAAGAGCAAAAAAAUGCUUUUGCAGAAGAUGGGAUUUGUGUGGGAUCCCAUGCCCCCAUGCUAUUUCUUGCAUUUUUUCUAUGGAUGAAAAUGUGUAUGACUAUACACAUGAUUGCUAUAAGCAAGAGGCUUACUUGAAUUCAUAUGAUCCCAUUGUUCACCCGGUUCCAUCCAUGGAUCAGUGGAAGAAAACUGGUUUGCCUGCAAUUAGCCCUCCUUUAUACAAGAAGCAACCUGGAAGGCCAAAAAUAUCUAGAACUAAAGAGGUAGGUGAGGUUCAAGCACCUGCUCCACCCCCUCCAAACCCCAUCCCACCAGAUUAUAUUCCACCUCCUGCAAAGGUAAAAAGAAUAUUUGUAAAGGUAAAGUGUGGAAUUUGUAGGCCAAUGAGGACAUAAUAGGUUAAGUCAUAGAAAAGAAGGGGAAAAUAGCUUUUCUAACAUCCAAGAGGCUGCUCAGGACCAUGGUGAUCACUUUCAUCAAACCAAUGGGCCAAACCCUUUUACAGGGAUAGGGAAACCAAGAGGUUGUGGUAUAACAAAAGGAAAGGGCAAACAAGGAACACAAAAAGCAGUUUCAACUGAGAAAAGAGAUCUCAUCAUCCAUUG